rnacentral:tRNA from 1 species
GGGGCCUUAGCUCAGCUGGGAGAGCACGACACUGGCAGUGUCGGGGUCAGCGGUUCGAUCCCGCUAGGCUCCACCA